rnacentral:rRNA from 1 species
GACGAACGCUGGCGGCGUGCUUAACACAUGCAAGUCGAACGGAAAGGCCCUGCUUUUGUGGGGUGCUCGAGUGGCGAACGGGUGAGUAACACGUGAGUAACCUGCCCUUGACUUUGGGAUAACUUCAGGAAACUGGGGCUAAUACCGGAUAGGAGCUCCUGCUGCAUGGUGGGGGUUGGAAAGUUUCGGCGGUUGGGGAUGGACUCGCGGCUUAUCAGCUUGUUGGUGGGGUAGUGGCUUACCAAGGCUUUGACGGGUAGCCGGCCUGAGAGGGUGACCGGCAACAUUGGGACUGAGAUACGGCCCAGACUCCUACGGGAGGCAGCAGUGGGGAAUAUUGCACAAUGGGCGGAAGCCUGAUGCAGCAACGCCGCGUGCGGGAUGACGGCCUUCGGGUUGUAAACCGCUUUCGCCUGUGACGAAGCGUGAGUGACGGUAAUGGGUAAAGAAGCACGGGCUAACUACGUG